GGCUCAUAGCAGAGGAGCCUGAUGUGGGGCUCGAUCCCAUAAUGCCGGGAUCACGCCCUGAGCCGAAGGCAGAUGCUUAACGACUGUGCCACCCAGGCGCCCCUGUAUUUUGCUUCUAACGCCAUGUUUGUGCCAAACACCGUGUUGGUCACUUGAUAUAUAUAAUUUUAUGCAAACCUCUUAGCAGCUUGGCUAGGUGGGAAUUAUCCCUGUGUUAGUAGUGGGAUGACCGAGGCUGAGGGAGGUUAAAUACUCUGCCGAGCCCCUACAGCACAGCCGGGGUCUGAGCUGGAAUUGCUUCUAGUACUUAGGCUAGUUCUCCCUCCAUGCCACCUGGGAAGGGCAGGAGAGGAACUGGCCAGAUUCUAAAGGUGCACAGCCGGCUUACAGUCUAUACAUGUCGUCCCACUGCUUCCCCACAAUAGCCAGGUAGGCGGGAAGUCAUCCUGAUCCUACAAGCGCAGCUCAGAGAUGGGCAGAGACUAGACAAGAACCCGGGACUCCUGGACCCAGAGUUCAGCCUGCACCAGCUCCCUCACCCAGCUGGGAGCUCACAGUGAGAAAAACCAGGCAGGCGCGUGGGGGUCACCCCCAUGACAGAAAGGGGGCCCUGAAGCCACUUGUUGCCAUCUUGGCACACCCCGGGACUGGGGAGAGGGCUGUGCUCCCGCCUCACAGUGAAGGGUGGAGUUGCUGGUGUGGAGGGUGGCAGGGCAGGUGGCGGGAGGGGACAGGUCAAGGGUAGGCGGGGGUCGGACACCAGGUCAGUGCCUCCAGUGGCCCGUCCAGGCCCUGUGUGGAGUUUUCCAAUGGAGGCCGUUGGAGGGAGGGCCUGUCAUUCCCACCACGCUUCUUGUUAAAGUCGCAGAUGACUGCUGAAUCGUGAGGGUCCUGGAUGUAGGGCAAGCGUGGGGAGAGGGGAUUAGCUUUCUCCUGAGCUGACUAUGUGCCUAGCCCUGCUGUCCCUGAUCUCAUUAACUCCGCAGAGAUUCCCUAAGGGUAGCUACUACUGUCCCACACUACAGACAAGAAAACUGGCUCAGAGAGGUGAAGUGGCCGACCCAAGGCCACCCAGGAGGUCACCAACAGGGCCUGGCCUCUAUGGAAACCCAAGUCUCCUGGCUGCGGAGGAGAGAAAUCACAGACAGGCAUGAGGGCUGCACUCCACAGUCACCAAUGGGACUCCACGUGAUCUUACCCCCAGUCCCUGCAGCACGGAGCUCAUUAACCUGAAACCUAUGGAAGAGGAAACAAGACCCCAACCGAGACGUCCUUGAGAGCAGGCCCUGGUCUGCCUGUGUCCUGCCGCCCCUAGACCUAGCACAAAGCCUGGUACAGAGAAGGUGCCUAGGAGAUGCUCACUCAAGGGAAGUGGUCCAGUGGCUGCUCUGGUACUUGGUGGCCAAGGCAUUGGAGCUUGACAGACCUGACCUGUGGUCCUGCAGCCUGGGUUUUCCCUGGCACGGUGGCCUCGCGAUUCUGAGAGGAGGAAGGCAGGAGCUAAGGCCCUGGGGCCGGCAUCACGUCAACUCCAUCACAUUCUGUCAGUCAAAGCAAGUUGUGAGGCACUCCCAGAUCCCAAGGGUGAGGAACAGACUCCCCCGCUCCAUGGCAGGAACAGCAAAAGAACAUGGGCGUGUUUUCCAUCUACCCGCCAGGGGCAGGCAGUUCUCCUCAUGCCCCACUCCCCUUGUCUCCAGUCCCACCACUGGAGUUCGGUGCUCACCUGCCUCCGGGGGCUAGUUCCGGAGUCAAGUCUAGGAGGAGGAAGCAUGCACAUCCAAAUCAUGGCUAAUUUCCAUCAGCACAAAAUCUGGAAAACAUAGGUGGGAACAUUUUCUGCAGGUGCUAGUCCAUGGAGGGAGAAACAUCAUUUCACUGGCCUGAAUUUAUUUAUAAUACAGGACACAUUCACCUGAGAUCCUAGAUUCAGUGUGCCAGUCUGGGGUGGUUUUCAUCGUUGGUUUAGCUGGUUGACUGAGCCCUGGAUUCAAUCGGGAACUGUGCUUCAUUGAUAUUGAAGUGCCAGGAAUUUCUUGCUUUAAAAUAGAGGAGGGAACCCAAAGACUAAGGGAGGGAGGAAGGUUGAGGUGGGUUUACCGCUGUGUGAGGCACUCACAAGCCCCCUGGCCAAAUUCCACAUUCCUAACUUCCUCUUAUGGAGCCUGCAGGAAACUCCCUUCAGCAAGACGCUGGGAGCUGUGUUAGUGAGGGGAGUGUCUUUGCAACACGACGACGACGGCGAUGACUUGCUACCGUUCUCUGCAGGCUGGGGAUGCUGCCGGAACACGCUGCCACAGAAACGCGCUCCAGAAUCUCAGUGGAAAUGCUGGGGCCCCAGGGGAGCAGAGCAGACACAGCAGCACUCGGCCUUCUGGAACAUCAGACGUCAGGCGGUGACCAGAAGGGUCUAACUCACGGGUAUCUUCAGCAGAGGUUAACUGUUCAAAGGCCAAAUAGGACCAAAGGGACCAAACAGGCAGGCUCUCAGUCCUCCUUCAUCUGUAUAACAGAAGCAGCAAAACAGGAACCAAACAGACCCUUUGAGGUUGGGCUAUGGAAGCCUGAUGUGAGCCCCUAUGAGAGAGAGCCUCAGUUCUCCCCGCCAAAGCGCCUUGAAUGAAAGAGGGGCCAGUGCACUUGAGAGCGAACCCUUCAAUGGCACCCAGACACAUACUGUAAAUCUUUCCUGGGCUAUUUGCCAGAGAACUGUGCUCUGUGAAGGGAAAAUACACAGGCUUUUCAGGGCUUAGCAGACCUUGAGUCUAUGUAAUGCUAAUUUCUGAGGAUACAGAGAACCACUGUGUAGGGGCUCAAGCAGAUCCGGUGGUCGUUGGAGUUUGGACCCGAGUCCACCCAUGCUGCAUUCAGCGAGACUCCGGACUCGUCCUGGAAUUAUUGCCUUAGUUUCAGGGUAGACAAUUGAAAUGUAUGGGCAGAAUUCACACAGGACUCUCCAGGCCUAUGGAAUAAAGGCCGUUCUUGUAGAAAGAGAUAAGUGGAAACCCCUGGAACGUCCCCUUCUUACUAAUCAAUAGACUGAAACAAUGGUUCCGACUCAGGGACAAUCACAGACAUUUGUGCCGUCAUCAAAGACUUGAAAGUAGCAGGGGUGGUGUCUGUCACGUGUCCCUUAACUCGCUGGCGGGGCCAGUGCAGAAGGCAUGGGGCUCAGAGAGUGACAGCUCUCAGAGGCUCACUCCAUCCUGAAACUCUGGGAUCCUGACCUGAGCUGAAGGCAGACGCUUCACCGACUGAGCCACCCAGGCAUCCAAGAGAACGCCAGAAGCAGUUUUCUUUCUCUUGGCAGAGACAGCAGCACAGCUUUCUCAUCUUGUCUUGAAACUCGUCAAGUUGCUGGUUCUCUGCUAUGAUUAAUCUUUGGGGAUUUUGAUUAUCCUCCCAAAUGACAGGAGAGCGUAUUUUUCUGCCAAAUCGGUUACAGUGUGUUCCUAGAAUUUGGAGAGUGGAAAGCAGCAAGGACUUUAGAUGCCUCGAUAAGAAUCAGGCUCCUGUGUCUUCCACUCCAGAGAUUCUGCCAGCGUCAAGUUCGCCAGUGAUCUCUUUACUGCUAGUGCAAUGGGUACUUCAAAAAAAUUAUUUUGGAAAUAGAGAAAUUUCGAUCAUACGUGAAAGUUGAGAAAAUGGUAUAAUGACCUUCAUCACAAAACUUCAACAUGUAUUGACAUCUUCCCCAUUUUGUUCAGUGGACACUUCUUAAUCCAUAUGGGAGGGAAGCACUCGUGGUCUCUGAUCCUGUGGGCCCCUUGCUCCCUGAUGCUUUGCCUGAGGCAACAUUCUUUCCUAGAUCUCCUCUGACCUCUCUGCUGCUCGAUGGCAGGCUCCCCUCAGGGGCUCCUUCCUCUCCUGUCCCUUAAAUGCUUGCGUUUCCCAAGGCUCUGUCUUAUACCCUCCACCUCUCACUUUCCACACCCUGCCUGGGUAAACACACCCUCUCUCGUGACCUCACAUACCUUCCCAGGGCUGGUGAGACCCAAAUUUCAAUGAGAUCCCCAUCUCUGCCUUCAUUCCGGACCCUGUCCAAGGCUGAGACCACUAUAUCCAGAAGUCUCCUAGACACCCCUGACCAGCUGUCCCAUAGGUGUCUCCCCUCAACAUGUACUGAACUGAGUCCGUCCUCCUGCCCCAACCGGUUGUUUCCUGGAUUCCUGUAUAUCCACUCAAUGCACACUGGGUGUGUAAGAAAAAAUGGAAGCUUUGGAAUAAGCAAAGAAACCACUACUAUAAUAAAAAAAAUGGACAAUAACAAGUGUUGACAAGAAUGUGGAGAAAUGGGAACCCUCGUACAUUGCUGGUGGGAGUGUGAGAUGCCUCCCAGGAAUCAGGUCUAAGCCCACUGAGGAUGUUAGAGUGGCCUGCUGGAGGAGGAGAGGGGAUUACAGUGGACG